rnacentral:rRNA from 1 species
GAUGAACGCUAGCGGCAGGCCUAACACAUGCAAGUCGAGGGAGGAGCCUUCGGGCUUCGACCGGCGUACGGGUGCGUAACGCGUAUACAAUCUGCCUUUCACAUAGGGAUAGCCCGAAGAAAUUUGGAUUAAUACCUAAUGGUAUAUAGAUGUGGCAUCACCUUUAUAUUAAAGCUGAGGCGGUGAAAGAUGAGUAUGCGUUCUAUUAGCUAGUUGGAGAGGUAACGGCUCCCCAAGGCGACGAUAGAUAGGGGUUCUGAGAGGGAUAUCCCCCACGCUGGUACUGAGAUACGGACCAGACUCCUACGGGAGGCAGCAGUGAGGAAUAUUGGACAAUGGUCGGAAGACUGAUCCAGCCAUGCCGCGUGCAGGAAGACGGCCUUAUGGGUUGUAAACUGCUUUUGCAGGGGAAGAAUAAGGACUACGCGUAGUUUGAUGACGGUACUCUGCGAAUAAGCAUCGGCUAACUCCGUG